rnacentral:misc_RNA from 1 species
ACGAGUUUUAAUUGUUAGGUUAGAGUUGAGCUGGUUAAUCUAAUUAAUAUGUGCUUACUCUAAUCGAAACAAGUCCACUCAUUACUUAACACUUGUGAACUUAUUCAUUACAAACAUUAUUAUUUGUUAUUGGAAGCGUUUGAUUAUUAAAAGUUAAUA